rnacentral:rRNA from 1 species
AACGGCCGUACCAUGCUGAAUAUACCGGUUCCCGUUAGAUCACCGAAGUUAAGCAUCAUUGGGCGCGGUCAGUACUUGGGUGGGUGACCACCUGGGAACACCGCGUGCCGUU